CCCUUCAGAGGGGGACAACAGUUGGAAACGACUGCUAAUACCGCAUACGAUCUAAACUCGGCAUCGAGGAUAGAUGAAAGGUGGCCUCUACAUGUAAGCUAUCACUGAAGGAGGGGAUUGCGUCUGAUUAGCUAGUUGGAGGGGUAACGGCCCACCAAGGCGAUGAUCAGUAGCCGGUCUGAGAGGAUGAACGGCCACAUUGGGACUGAGACACGGCCCAG
rnacentral:rRNA from 1 species